GCUGCGGAUGGGGGGCGCCCAGAGCUGGGUGCGGGGUGUAUAUGGAGUGUGUAGGGGUGCUCAUGGGUGCCAUAUGAGCCGUGCACUGCAGAGCCUGUGGGCAUGUGGUGGCUGUAUAACGGGCAAAUGGGGGUUAUAGACCUUGUAUCUAUGGGGUGCAUGUAUGGGAAGUGUAGAGGAGCGUGCUUAUGCGCUUCCUUGGGACGUGAAUGAAAUACAUAUGUGAGAUCUGUGUGUGUGUUCUGGAGGAACUGCAUAGCUUGCAUACAGGGGAGAGCACAGAGGAUGUAUGUGAAGGUUUGCAUGGGAUUUGGAUAGGAUGCCCUAGGGGAGUGCAUGUGGGUAUGUAUGGAGAGUGUAGGGGUCUCUUUGCAGCCCUGCCGUGCGCUGCCCCGGUGGCAGAUACAGGGCAUUGUCUCAGCCACACAGGGGGCUCAGGACUGCCCUUGCCUCCCCCACCCCCAGGGCCUGCCUAGGGCCCAUGCACUGGCACAUCUGCCUAGGGACAUCCAAAUCUGGGGCAGGGGAUUUAUUUUAAUAAACCGUUUACAGUUAAUUGUGUUAAGUGCUAAAGUAGUGUAGAAGGAAGAGCAAAUGCGAGAUGGGGACAAAUUGAAUUCUCUUCAACAAUAAGACCUUAGAACUUCUGUUUUAUAAUGUGGACCUGAAGACUCUCAAGAGGAAGGUAGGAUAGUCACAUACAUUACAAACUUAAGGCCUUUUUACUCUAAUAUUUUAAAUUUUUUUCAUUUAUACAUGUAAAAAACCCAAUCAACUGCCUAUCUGAAAUGGACUUACAGCCAGAUCAUAAACAUACAUAGGGAUAGACAUACAAAAAGCCCAGGUUCUAUGCAUAAAGCCUUUCUUUUCUGUCCUCUUACAUUCUUCUGUGACACAGGUUGCUGCUAGGUAUGUUAAUCCAUGGUUUUGAACUGCUACAUAAAAAGGAAAGCUCAAGCUGUAGAGAACCUGCCUCCUCACCAGGCACUGAGAUGCCUCUACGGGUGAUGGAGCAAACCACCGCCCAGGCUACAAUUCCUUCUCUCCUCUCACUGUUUCAUCUCAACAGCCGUCAACGCAGAAGAAUGUGGCCAAGAUAAGCAAGUCACAGCAAAACUGUUCUUGGCUGCAGUGAUGUCAAGAGUUUUGUAUUUGCAGAGACCUCAAUGUUUUCCAUUUUGAUUCUGAGAGUCCUUUGUAACCUGGCUAUGUUGGCAUCCAAGGCUGCUAAGCUAUUUUUAAAGUCCUCUUCAUCUCGAGACGUAAAUGUUGAGAAAGAAGAUGCACUCCAGUCAGACCUCCCUGAUAAAUCAUCAAAUGAAAUGCAACUAAAAUCAGCUACUUUACUGCCUGUUCUCUGAGAAAUCCCUGUUGGAAAUGGCAUCGAUGCACGAGGAUAGAGCAACCUAAACCAGUUGGACAGGCAGCUGUCCUUGAAGGAAGCACAGAAGGUAUCCUACAGAAGAUCCUUCUUUGAGAAAAGCCUGGCUUGGACACUGAACUCCAGACCAGUUUCUAGCUGUGGAUCCUAAACUGAGGCCAAGGACUGCAAUGCUUCCCUGUCCAAGAGCUAUAAGGAAAGGGUAUUGUCAUUCUCUUCCACACUUCCUACUAGAUAAACCUGAUGAUGCUGAUAUUUGUAAACACACUCAACUUUCUUCCUUAUACAUGAAGUUCAAACAUCUCUGAAUUUCAGGAAUUAUUUAGUAAACAUUUAAGAUUUCUGAAAGACAAUACAUCCUUUUGUGGAUUCAACCCAGGAUCAACCUACGAACAAACAGCAACAAUUAUUUGAAGCCUUGUUGUAUCUCAAGAGGUUGAGGAGUCACUCAGUGUUGUUUGAAUAAAAAAAAAAAAAUCAACCCUAAGAAAGCCCACUUACCAAUUUCUUUUUGGACAGGGGCA